UUCUUCACGGUCGUUCUACGUUUGAGAUCCGGUCAUUGCCUUACGCCAUCUUACCUUCAUAGAAUAGGACUUAAAGAGUCAAACUUAUGUGAUUGUGGUGAGUUGACCUAACCUGGGAUUGGAACUCCAAGACUCCUGAUGCCCCAGGACCCAGGAAUUAGGAAUAAGAAGCAAUACUACAACACAGAGAUUGGGUGCAUAGUCUUUCAGGCUGAGCCCAUAUUCAGGCCUUUUCAGUCAAGGGCAUCACUGGCUGCUGAGUAGUCUGCUUGAGAAUCAAGAAGAAGAAGAAAAAUAACCU